rnacentral:rRNA from 1 species
GUUUGAUCCUGGCUCAGAUUGAACGCUGGCGGCAUGCCUUACACAUGCAAGUCGAACGGCAGCAUGGGUGCUUGCACCUGAUGGCGAGUGGCGAACGGGUGAGUAAUGCAUCGGAACGUACCCGGAAGUGGGGGAUAACGUAGCGAAAGUUACGCUAAUACCGCAUAUUCUGUGAGCAGGAAAGCGGGGGAUCGCAAGACCUCGCGCUUCCGGAGCGGCCGAUGUCGGAUUAGCUAGUUGGCGGGGUAAAGGCCCACCAAGGCAACGAUCCGUAGCGGGUCUGAGAGGAUGAUCCGCCACACUGGGACUGAGACACGGCCCAGACUCCUACGGGAGGCAGCAGUGGGGAAUUUUGGACAAUGGGCGCAAGCCUGAUCCAGCCAUGCCGCGUGAGUGAAGAAGGCCUGGU